ACAGUACAAACUGAUCAAGCCAGGGCCGAGGCCCGGAGCCGGGUCACGGAAGUGACAGUGGAAUCACACAUCCACGGGACAGU
rnacentral:ncRNA from 1 species